UACGGGGGGGGCAAGCGUUGUUCGGAAUUACUGGGCGUAAAGGGCUCGUAGGCGGCCAACUAAGUCAGACGUGAAAUCCCUCGGCUUAACCGGGGAACUGCAUCUGAUACUGGAUGGCUUGAGUUCGGGAGAGGGAUGUGGAAUUCCAGGUGUAGCGGUGAAAUGCGUAGAUAUCUGGAGGAACACCGGUGGCGAAGGCGGCAUCCUGGACCGACACUGACGCUGAGGAGCGAAAGCCGGGGGAGCAAACGGG
rnacentral:rRNA from 1 species